rnacentral:misc_RNA from 1 species
UGUGCGACUACCCUCUUGUCGUUUCCUUCGCCUCAUCCCUGUCCCCCUCCGCACACAUACACACCUAAACACAUAUAUAUAUAUAUAUAUGCACUUUACUAAUCACUCCAUCGUGGUACAACAGCUCAAGUGCACGCCCUUUUCGAGUUCGCACGAAGCCGAAAACAAGACGACAAGCUUCAACGCCAGCAGAAAAGCACCGGAAAGGAGAGCGAAGUCAUCGCCUUGCGUUCACCCUUGCACAAAACUCCCUGAUGGUGUGCGCCUAUUCGUGAUGCGCUCCAUUUGUGUGCGUAGUCGCUUCUCUCCUGUCUUGCUCUCUUCGCUUGAGCGCAUCUCCGCGUUCUGCUCUCCUCUCUCUCUCCUUAACACACAUUGUGCACCACACGCGCAUCCGUACCUAUUCGUUUAGCGUCUCCUCAUCCAGCUCCCUCGUGUACGUCUUUGCGUGAGAGUGAGUGUGAGUGUGUGUGUGCAACCAUCCCCCUCCCCCUUCUUACACUGUUUGAGGAUAACGUGUCUGCGUUUUGCGGAGCCGCACAUCCAUUUCUCCCCCGCCUCCUGCCCGAGCUUCUGCUGCCCCCCCCCCCCCCCCCCCCCCCCCCGCGCGCCACCACGCGGCCACCUCUCCCUCCUCGACACACACACACACACACACACACACAGACAGACAUACAGACAGACUUCUGUUCUCGUUCAUUUUCUUUUCUGUGAGGCUUUUCGUUGGCAUGUCGGUGCAUCCCGCUGUUCAGUCGCUGUGUGAACAGCCCAUCGACACCAUCGGACUGACAGCUGUCUCUGCAGUUGCCUCCGCCCUCGGAGAUGUAUCGACCGCCACAGAUCUUAUCCAGCGGCCUGAGCAGGAGAAGGCGCUGCAUGAUCUGCUGAAGAAGUGCAUGUCGAUCUUGAACAAUAGCGGCAAAAACUUCGCGCUGCGACUGGCGUGCCUGGAGUGUCUGUACGCACUCUCUCAACCCCCCAUCCCCGCAUUUCGGACGGGGCUGCUGUGCAACACACUGAACAGCGUGAACAGCAGCGUGGAGGAGAUGCUGGCGCGGACGGGGCCAAGCGGGACUGAGAGCCCCUCCUCGGCUCGAGAAAUGUUCACAGUGCUGGUCUUUCGCUUCACCAACUACGACACGAAGGUAGCUCGGCUGCUGCUGCAGCAUAUGUGCGACGGCGACGUCGGCACAAUGAUGCAGACGCUCCUCCGUGUCAUGGUGCAGCAUUGUGAGACAUGCGAGUGGCCACUGCUGCAGGCGGCGUUGCAGUCUCUCUACGAACUGACGGUGCCGAUUACCUACUACGCCACCGGCAAGGACGGCGCCGCGGAGCCGAGCUGCGACUCUGCCGCAACAGCGACCGACAGCUCGCUGCAGAGCUUCACGGUGGAGAGCUUCCAAGACAGAAUUGCCGUGCUGCUCACGGAGAUGCGCAACCACCGACUUCUGGAGAAGCUGCUGGCGUCACUGCGCUUGUCGUGGCACGAGUCCACCCACAACCGCAGCCCGCCGUCGCUUGCACAAGGAUACGCGGAGUCGGUCGCGCUGGGAGCCCUUGGCCGCCCUGACGUGGCGCACACUGUCACCAGCGCCAGCGCGGAGCAGCAGAUGGAGUUGCUCAACUGGCUCUCUGCCUUUACGCUGCUAUGCCGGGCACUGGACAACAUGGUCGAGUUCUGCCGGGACGCGAAGCUCUCAAGGGAGGUGCGGGCCCGGCUGCUGAGCGACCCCGGCUGCCACGACUGGCUUGCGUCCGCGGCCGUGCCGGCUGUCGUUGCAGCCAUACAGGUGUGGAUGUCUGAAGACGGCGCCAGCGCCACGCCCGCAGCGAUCAGCGACGACAGCGCAGGCCCCUUCGCGACGGCCAAGGUCAAGCUCAGCUUGCUAACGGCAGCCGUCACGCUCCUGCGCAUGCUGCGAUUUGCCCUGUACAAACCAGCUGUGGGCUUCACCGCAGCGCUGCUCUCCUCGAUGGCGUGCCUUGCAGCGCAGGUGCAGCGCGGGGAGCCACAUCUCCGUCUGCAGUACGGCGGCAUGCAGGUAAUGCUCUUGACGAUCGAGUGCCUUGUGAACAUGAACGCGGUGGCAGUUACCAGCCCGGUGAACCUCUCAGAGUCAUACCAUGGGUUGCUGCGCACCAUCGCAGCGGACAAGACUCGCUGUACGUUAUCGAACUGCUCCAGCGACGCCAGCAGCGGCCACGGGGCGGUCGCGGAGCCGCAGCCGGAUGCACUGCUGCCCAUCGCUGAAUGGUUCAUCUUGUGCGUGCGCGAGGAGGAGUCCUCGUUCUUUGAUAUCGACAGCGGCAAUGCAUCCGUGGCGCUGCUGCACGAGUGCUUCGCGUCAGAGGAGGCCAUGCUGCAGGACGCGGCAGACCGCGUCGCUGACCUUGUUGCGCUCGAGUCGCAGCUGGCGAUGAUGCAGAACUUUUUGCUUCUCAUGACACUGACAGAGCUGCUGAGUGGGCUACCCGAUGGCGGGCUGGAGCGGUUGACGCAAUCUGGUCCGCGCAGGCGCAGCGGCGCUACAGACGCGCAACAGAAGCCACCGAACGACAGCGGCAGCUCGUCAAAGAGGUGCAGGCCUUCCAAGAAGAAAGCGUCGCACCACCCCGCGGCGUACGUGUGCGACUUGACGGGAAAGUUGAUGCGCGAACCGGUGGUACUCAAGGGCGGGCACCGAUUCGAAUUCGACGCACUGCAGAACGUCAUUCUGCAGGUCGGACAUGUCGACCCCAUCUCUGGCGAGUCUAUCGACGAAGACGUCGAGGUAAACAUCGCACUGCAGCAGGAGAUUGCGGCCUAUCGUGUCAAGCGCGCAUCCGAAAAAGGAGGCAGUUGAUAUCCAACCCCACCCCACCCUCUUGCGCGUUCCUGCUCUCUCUCGUGUUGUUACGGGGGAAGGAGAAAAGAGGAGCUGUGGGCUAUCUAUGUAGACUAGCUGUGGAGCGUGGCACAUGGAACGCAAUGGGGGACGUCCCCGCUCCCCUCUUUUAUCUGCUUGGCUUGGCGCCCAUGUGCGCCUUCUCCCCUCUCUGCGUUUUCUGGUGUUGCGUGGAAGUUGCCGCCGCCGCCCUUCCCCCAUCAAGACGAUGAUGCCGGGGGUGGGAUGGGGUAGGGGGACACCCCUCUCCGUGCGUCGUAUCACAGAGUCCAGUGCCCCCCCCCCCCCCCCCCCCCGCAGACAGAAGCGCCGUUUGGAAGCAGAGCCCCACGAUGCAGAAGGGUGGGAGCUGUGCGCACGCGCUGCCAUGCACAGCUGGCCCGGCGUGCCGCGUCUGGGCAGUGCGUGCACAGGUAAGAGGAGCACGAGCGACGGACGGGCAAGGCGCGAAGAGAUCCGUAUCGAUCAGCCCCAAGGUGCAUGUCGGCAAAGCAUGCGGCAUCUCCGACAUCCGACCCGGGUGGGCCGAUGAGGCACAGAUGCCGGAAGCAUGGCGCGAGCACCCCGAAUUUGCACCGUGGCGUCCUCCGGACUCCACCAUAGAGAUUCGCGGCACCACAUUGCGGAACGCCGGGACUUAGAGCGACUGAGGGCGAAGCGUGGCACCCAGGCAGAGUGUGCAGAGGGUCUCCAUAGAGCCCCUGACCUGUGGGUGGCCAACCUCCUCCCUGAGCUCAUGCGGCAUGCACCUGGACCACCCCGCUGUUACACUCACGGCAGACGCCUGCCGCCUCCGCCCUCGAGCGCAGGACCCUGGACGCGUCCCGCUGGGAUCAAGACAUGCAGUCUAGCCAGGUCCGUGUGGAGUUCGCCGCGCAGCGCGUACCCGAUGAGGGGGCAAGGAAGGGCAGGAAGAGCUUGAUAGGCGCAUGACCCGAUUCGGUGGCAGGACGGCUUGUCCCAUGACGGCCAGGCGUUAGCGGCAGUGCCGCAGCGGCAGGCGAUCGGUGGCUGUGUGGUUGUGCAUGCGUAUCCGUUUGCUGGCUUGUUCGCGGGUGGAAUACGGGCGCGUUGGACCGCUGAAAAUGUGCGACUUACCGCUUCUCUCGAU